AGGACGAACGCUGGCGGCGUGCCUAACACAUGCAAGUCGAGCGGAGACACUGAGGAGCUUGCUCCGAGGUGUUUUAGCGGCGGACGGGUGAGUAACGCGUGAGCAACCUUUCCUCUACUGGGGAAUAACACAUCGAAAGGUGUACUAAUACCGCAUGAUGUGUCGGGAUCGCAUGAUCCUGACACCAAAGAUUUAUCGCUGAAAGAUGGGCUCGCGUACGAUUAGAUAGUUGGUGAGGUAACGGCUCACCAAGUCGACGAUCGUUAGCCGGACUGAGAGGUUGAACGGCCACAUUGGGACUGAGACACGGCCCAAACUCCUACGGGAGGCAGCAGUGGGGAAUAUUGCACAAUGGGGGAAACCCUGAUGCAGCAACGCCGCGUGAGUGAAGAAGUAUUUCGGUAUGUAAAGCUCUAUCAGCAGGGAAGAAAGAAGACGGUACCUGACUAAGAAGCACCGGCUAAAUACGUG
rnacentral:rRNA from 1 species